GACGAACGCUGGCGGCGUGCUUAACACAUGCAAGUCGUACGGAAAGGCCCUGCUUUUGUGGGGUGCUCGAGUGGCGAACGGGUGAGUAACACGUGAGUAACCUGCCCUUGACUUUGGGAUAACUUCAGGAAACUGGGGCUAAUACCGGAUAGGAGCUCCUGCUGCAUGGUGGGGGUUGGAAAGUUUCGGCGGUUGGGGAUGGACUCGCGGCUUAUCAGCUUGUUGGUGGGGUAGUGGCUUACCAAGGCUUUGACGGGUAGCCGGCCUGAGAGGGUGACCGGCCACAUUGGGACUGAGAUACGGCCCAGACUCCUACGGGAGGCAGCAGUGGGGAAUAUUGCACAAUGGGCGGAAGCCUGAUGCAGCAACGCCGCGUGCGGGAUGACGGCCUUCGGGUUGUAAACCGCUUCCGCCUGUGACGAAGCGUGAGUGACGGUAAUGGGUAAAGAAGCACCGGCUAACUACGUG
rnacentral:rRNA from 1 species